AUUGAACGCUGGCGGCAUGCCUUACACAUGCAAGUCGAACGGCAGCGCGGGGCAACCUGGUGGCGAGUGGCGAACGGGUGAGUAACGCAUCGGAACGUACCUUUCAGUGGGGGAUAACGUAGCGAAAGUUACGCUAAUACCGCAUAUUCUGUGAGCAGGAAAGCAGGGGAUCGCAAGACCUUGCGCUGAUUGAGCGGCCGAUGUCAGAUUAGCUAGUUGGUGAGGUAAAGGCUCACCAAGGCGACGAUCUGUAGCGGGUCUGAGAGGAUGAUCCGCCACACUGGAACUGAGACACGGUCCAGACUCCUACGGGAGGCAGCAGUGGGGAAUUUUGGACAAUGGGGGCAACCCUGAUCCAGCCAUGCCGCGUGAGUGAAGAAGGCCUUCGGGUUGUAAAGCUCUUUCGGCCGGGAAGAAAUCGCACGGGCUAAUACCCUGUGUGGAUGACGGUACCGGAAUAAGAGGCACCGGCUAACUACGUGCCAGCCGCCGCAGUAAAAC
rnacentral:rRNA from 1 species